GGUGGCUCAGUCCGCUUGUGGGACCCGCAGGAAGCGGAACCAGAGAGAGCGUUGCGUCUACCUGGAGAUUUCCUGCUGUCAUGGAGCGGCUGAGAGCCCUUCGAGGUCUCUUUGCCUGUGUGGGCUGCGUGCCCAGACGUACGCGUCGCAGGGAGAGAAGCAGGGUGCCGAGCCCUGUCCCUGCCUGCGCCGUGACUUCGCUGCUGCGGCGCCUGCAAGACCGGGAGGGUGACCGAGCGCAGGC